rnacentral:rRNA from 1 species
GACGUAGGGCGCGAGCGUUGUCCGGAUUUAUUGGGCGUAAAGAGCUCGUAGGCGGCUUGUCGCGUCGACUGUGAAAACCCGCGGCUCAACCUUGGGCUUGCAGUGGGUACGGGCAGACUAGAGUGCGGUAGGGGAGACUGGAAUUCCUGGUGUAGCGGUGAAAUGCGCAGAUAUCAGGAGGAACACCGAUGGCGAAGGCAGGUCUCUGGGCCGUAACUGACGCUGAGGAGCGAAAGCAUGGGGAGCGAACAGG